rnacentral:ncRNA from 1 species
UUAAAACAAGAGACGAAGACGUUAUAAUGUGAAAUUAUAAGAGAUUCUACUAAUUGGUGAGAUGUAGAUUAAGGAAACAUUAUAAGAAUCACUUCUGAUGUAUGUAUCUGAAAUAAUAGUAAGAUAUAUCGCUUGUAAGCGUUAAAACUACUUAAGUGUAUAUCAUUAUGAUGUGAAUUAAGGUGGUACCGCGGUUAGUUAUCAAAUCGUCCUUUAU